AUCAUUAUUGACCAUGGCCAAUGAGGUAAAUCCGAGGCGUGGUUAUUGCUAGUUGAAAACUAUUAUUAUUAUU
rnacentral:snRNA from 1 species